CUUGACGGAGCCGAGCCACAACGGCCGCUCCUGCGGGCGGCGUUCGCCGUAGGUGGCCAGGAGGGCGUGGGCCUC
rnacentral:antisense_RNA from 1 species